rnacentral:misc_RNA from 1 species
GUGAGAGGGGGCUUGCCCCCGAUGGCAGUGUGUCAGUCAUCAAAGAUGUUGAAUGUGCCACCGCUAUCGGGGGCAAGCCCCCUCCCAC